rnacentral:tRNA from 2 species
AUUUAAAUAAUUUAAAUAAAAUAUUGAUUUGUGGUAUCAAAAAUAUGAAUAAAUUCAUUUUAAAUU